rnacentral:rRNA from 1 species
GACAGAGGCCUCAAGCGUUAGUCGGAAUCACUGGGCUUAAAGCGUGUGUAGGCGGAUCGUUAAGUGUCUUGUGAAAUCCCACGGCUCACCCGUGGAACUGCUGGGCAUACUGGCGAUCUUGGGCCAACUAGGGGCAGCCGGAACAAGCGGUGGAGCGGUGAAAUGCGUAGAUAUCGCUUGGAACGCCGAAGGUGAAAACAGGCUGCUGGGGUUGUGCCGACGCUGAGACACGAAAGCCAGGGGAGCAAACGGG